CGUCAUCUUUCUGCGACACUCAUUCUGACAGCCAGCCAGCUCUGCUCCGGCAGUCGGCAACAUGAUAAAGUAACAAGAAGCAAACGUUGAAGCUCUCGGUUUUUAACAGUUCUUCGGCUAGAACUUUGCUAUGGGUUGAAUGUGCGCAUAUACUGGAUGCUGAAACUAAACGACAAGCUUUAUGAAACCGUGGCAUUUUGCGUUGAGAUGGAAAAGGAACGCGCCACACUCUCCUGGAUACGAGGCUACGUGUGUGCGGCUUUUGCGCCAAAGGUCUUUCUACCAGCAAAACAAAAUAGCAGGACAGAAGUGACAGCGUCAGAAAGAAAACAAUGCUGUUCCGAUUGCUGAUGGAGACAACAGAGAAAGACAGGAGAAGGUCAAGACUCAAGAGCUGGACUUUCCAUGACGUCCUCACUCGACCCCUGUGAAUAGCAGCCCACCGUUGACCAGCCAUCAGUAUCUACUGUGCAGUCCUUUCCUGACCCGGUUUCUCACUAGCCCUUCGCAGACGAACACUACCACCUGACGACGGUCGUCUGGAUAAUACUUCGGUUUGGCACCGGCAUGGUCUACCACAAAGAUAGACGCCAGACCUUCUGAAAGGACCUAAUGGACUGAGUGCUGGAAAGGAGACAACCCCUCUAUAGAAUAAACUGAGUGUAACAAACACUCCACCACGAAAACUCUCCACUCCAGUCCCAAUAACAGACAUGUAUGUUUUAGUGUCAUGACGGAGCAAUCAUUUCGGAAGGUCCUAAACCCUAUUUAUCUAAAAUACUUUCUGAUGUUUGAUAGUGACAUCUUGGUUACCCAAUAAGACAUUUCUUACAUUAUUACAAGAUUCUUCACUUCUUCCUACAUUGUUAAUGACUGAAUGAUUACAAUUAUGAUGUACACAUUGUUAUUGGUCACACCUGCUGACAUUAAAGUCCCAGUAAAAUCUU